rnacentral:pre_miRNA from 1 species
AUGGUACUCCCUCCGUUCGGAAUUACUCAUCUAAGAAAUGAAUGUAUCUAGAUGUAUUUUAGUUGUAGAUAUAUCAUUUUUGUGACAAGUAAUUCCGAACGGAGGGAGUACUAA